ACAGAUUUCGAUCGAUCUGCGCAGCGCUGCAUGAAGUCGAACGCACCUUCAGUUCACUCGUAAAUAGGAUGUGGCCACAUGAUGUCACCACGAUCACUCUUCUUCGAUGGUAUGCAGUUGUAGCUAUAAAAGCGUAGUGCCCCCUCCUAAGAUCCCUCAUUUCGCGAUGCCUACUUCGACGAUGUGUGGAAGAAAUGAGCAUAAGAAAACCGAAAGGUUACAAGAAGGUGGCUGACUGGUUUGUGUUUAUAACCUGAUGAAGACCCUUUGGCUGCUGUAAUGCAAGUUGCACAAGACUCAUCUAGAGUACCUCAAUCUAGUGGUCUAGUGAAUUGAGAGUGGCUUUUUCUAUAGGAAGAGGGUGUUGACUGUACUGUAAGAAGAGGUGAAAUCCCUGUAAAAAUCCUAGCGCAGGAAAAAAGUGUUGAAGAUCAGCCAGAAUGACGAUUCUCAAACGGUUCAAUGUGAAUGUAACAAGCGAAACUUCGACUGUGGUGUCAACUUAUCUGAAUGGAAUAUGAAUGUUCUUGUUUAAUUUUUAGUAAAUGAAUAUAAAGACCUGC